GUAGUAGUAGUAUCAUUAUUAUUACUAGCGAUAUUAUUGGCGGGGGGGGGGACGACGAGAGGGUGUUGCUGUAAUCGAUGCUAGUCCAGGUCAGUUUUCGGGAGGGGGAGGGGACUUGGCGGAGACCCCGGCUCCUGGCCGCAGCUGACCCCGGGGCUCCACCCCGCCUUCCCGGUGAGGGAUCCUUUCCCUCGGUCCGCGCAGCCAGCUGCCACCUUACUGGAGAAAGACCGGCUUUGGAGGCGAGGGUUUUGUGAAAACUAAAUGAAAACCGCAUAGAAAACUACCGACUCUUAGGCAGCUGUGAAGGAUACUGUGAUGUUUGUUUAUGGAACCAUGACUCAAAGAACUCAGAGAUCCACGUCCCUCUGCCUCCUGAUGGCUGGGGUAAAGAAGCGCAUCUUUCGGUCCUCCACUCGACCGCCGCUGCCAGAACUGGUGACUGCCUGACGACAGGCUGCCCUGGCUCAGUUAUCACAGUGCUGAUGCUGUCCAUUCUAAAGGUACAGUACUGUGAUAACUGAAGGAUGGCAGCCAUCUUGCCUUCCUCCCAAGAAGUCUCACCGCAGAAGGCCAAAGAGGAGUGGGAAGCAGGACGCUGGGACAAGUCCAGGCACGUUUCACCCCACGCCUGUGUUUACCUGUUCUUGGCUUCAUUUGGUAAACGGGGAAUAAAAGAACAUAGUGGUUUGUAUGGGAUGUGAAGACAGUUACACUGGGUAGAUAGAAAGUCUGUGGAACCUGUUGUGUCUUUGGAAAAUAAAUGAUUUUAUUCUGUUAAGUAAAUAAGGACUACUCUACACAUCCUCGUAAAUCAGCUUCGGAGAUCUGCCCACAUCAUCUUAAAAAAAAAAAAGUACCAUGUGUGGGGGCUGUGAAGAUGGCUGUGUCACUAACGUGUAUGUGCAGGCAUGAGGACCUCAGCUCAUGCCCCAACAUCUGUGUGAAAAUCCAGGCAUGGUAACGUGCAUUUGCAAUCCUCCAGUGCCGGGAGGCAGAGACAGGCAGCUCCCUGGGGCGGGUUCCUGGCCAGCCAGCCUCACUGAAUCCCCAAGUCAUAGUGAGAACCUUGAAAAAAACAAGGUGGACAGCUCCUUGAGGUUGACCUCCGUGGGUGCACACAAGAGCAAUGCGUGUUCGUGCACAUGCAUGCAGGAGAUAUAAUUGGAAUAGAGAACCCAGGACUUAAUCACAUUCUUUCUGUCACUCAACCCCCUUCCUCAUGCCACUGAACACAACAAGCCAGUGAAUACCACGGUUCUGUGACAUUGUUGGGUCACAGUCUACUGUGUGUCUUGACUCCAAGCGUAAACAGGGUCCUGUUACCUCUUCCUAGGCUAAUGAGUAUGUCUGGGAACCUUACGACCCUUUGGCGGCUGAGUGGUAAAGGACAGUCCAGCCCCAUUUGAAUUUACAGCAGGGAGGACAAAGCCACAUAUGCUGAACCUUAGCCGUUGAACUUACACCUAGUGUCACAGACCGGUUAUAGUGCUCGUUUCUAGAAUGAGGAAAGCCAGCCACUGGGAGCUAUCACUGUCUGCUGGCUUAGUCUCCUACCUCUUUCCUUCUUCAUCCAAAGAGGAGCCAAGCUCGCAGUGACUUGGGCCACACCUGCUUGGCCAGAAACACACUGAUAAUGUUUACGGCCCGGUACUUCAAGUGUCUUCACACUCACAGUUUCUCGUAAACCAUGAGCUAGAAUGCUCUUGGUCAGUUAUAGAAAGGGAGGGCCAUUCUUGAAAUUCCUUGGAAAGGAACUUUUGACAGAAACCCUGAAAGACCUCAAGACAAAGUUCUGGGAUUGGUGAGUCCUCAAGUAAUUCGAAACACUCAUAAAUGUUAGUGUUUUAGCAGGUGGAAAAAAAGUGCUUGAAGCGGAACGCUUUUGUAAUCCUUGGCUUUCGUAUGGAUUUCGCCACCUUUAUGACCUUCCUGUUUUCCCUCUUACUGGUUUUACAGAAAUUCAUCAGGUUUUUUUUUUAUUUGCCUAAGCUUGACCUCAGAAGACAUGCAUGCGCCAUGGGACAUUACAGUUGUCAUGUUCCUUUUCCUGUUGCUGUAAUAAAUAAAAUGCCCCAACAAAAGCAAGUUCAGGGAGAAAGGAUUUCUCAAGGCAUCAGGAGCUUGAAGCAGCUGGCCACAGUCCAUUCGUAGUCAGCAGGAGAGAGCGAUGAGUGUGUGCACACUAGUGCUCAGCUCGUGUCUUCCCCUGCCUAGAGAAUGGUGCCAAGGCAGUGGGCAGCUUUUCUGCCUUCAUUAAUGUAAACCCUGCCUGCAAAGGGUAAUCCUCCAUGGGCAUGCCCAGAAGCCAUCUCCUCUGUGAUUCUAGGUUUUGUCAAAUUUACAAAACGAUCUAUCCCAACAAUAUUGGCUGUAGUUUGGACUUACCAUUUGGCUUCUAUAGACAAAAGUCAGGCUGGGCCAGGAGAACCAAGGCAGUGGCUCCAGAAGCUCACCAAGGCCUAGGGUCUUUGAAAUUUUGGGGGUCUCCAAAAAGCUGAGUGUGGUGCACACCUGUAAGCUCAGCACUCUGGAUUCAGAAGUGUGAGGGUUACCCAUGAGUUCAAAGCCAGAUUGGUCUAUGUGAGCCUGUUCCACACAGUGCCAGACCAGCCAGCACUGUACGAUUUAGUCAUUACGUAUCUGUAUGUAUCCAAAGGAGUUGAAAAGAGGGGCUGAAGGGCUGGAGAGAUGGCUCAGAGGUUAAGCGCACUGGCCGUUCUUCCAAAGGUCCUGAGUUCAAUUCCCAGCAACCACAUGGUGGCUCACAACCAUCUGUAGUGAGAUCUGGCGCCCUCUUUUGACAUGCAGGCAUACAUGCAGGCAGAAUACUGUAUAAAUAAUAAACUUUUUUUUUUUAAAGAGGGGCUGAGAGAUAUACUUGCAUAUCCUUAUCUAUAGCAUUAUUAGAAGUAGCAGAAAGUUAGAAGCUGCCCUGGUGUCCGUGGAUGGAGAAGAGGUGUACACAUACAGUAAAAUAUGAGUCAUUUCAAGGGGAGGAAAUUUCGACACCAUCCAACAUGGAUGAACUUUGAAGGAACUAUGCUAAGUGAAGGCGGGCACCGCUGAACAGAUACUGUCUGACUCACUCACUUGAGGAUCCUAGGAAAAGACACUGUUACCGGAGUCUGCAACAGGAAGAAGAGGAGAAUUGUACUUAAGGAAUACAACGAUUCAUUUGGGGAGGGUGAAGCAAUUCCAGAGGCAAAUGGUGGUGAUUGCCCAACAGGAAUGUUAUGAAUGCCUGCAGGACUGGCUGCCUAAAAUGGUAAAUUUCAUGGAUAUCAACAGUAAAACAUUGGAGGUGGUGGUGCUGUAAGGUUGUGGUGCAUACCGCCUCGUUUUCAUUCUGAAAACAUCAAUAGUACUGCUCAAAGCAAGCAGUUAACAUGUAAUUUCUGUGUCCCGUAGGGUUUAAAGUUCUCAGAUCUGUAACCCCUUAGACCAGAGUGCUAAAAACAGAAUGAGAAGGCUUGUCCAAGAAGUCUACUUGUGGUGGCCAAAGUGAGCAGUCCCGGUUUUCCUGUGGUCUCAGCCUGGACUCCUGCAGCAUGGUAGUAAAGAUGAAAUUCCAUUAUCCUCUUGAGCCAUGGGGAUGGCUCAGUGGGUAGAGGUGAUUGCUGGGCAUGCCUGGCAGGCUGAGCUCAGUCUUCAGGUGGAAAGAAAAAACUGAUGCUAUGAAGUUUUCUUCUGACGUUUGCAUGUUUGCUCCUCACCAUUUACACGGAUAAGUAAUGAAAAAAUUAAAAUUAUACUCAUCUCCAAAGUA